AGAGUGUGUUGUGAGUGACUGGUUCGUAAAUAUACUGUGGAGAGAGAGAGAGAGAGAGAGAGAGAGAGAGAGAGAGAGAGAGAGAGAGAGAGAGAGAGAGAGAGAGAGAGAGAGAGAGAGAGAGAGAGAGAGAGAGAGAGAGA